AGUGAGCAAGUCAAAUACAGUCACUUCAGAGAGUGUGAGAAUAUCAAUCAUUACAGCUCAUUAUGGCACUGUGGGCUAGGAUGUUAGUUUUCCUGGCAGCAAAUAUUGCAAUGGCUGCUGGACAGGAUUCUGUUAACCAAACAGAUGGAGUUUUGAGAGCCUUUCAGGGAGAUGGAGUGACUAUUGCGUGUCAUUACCAAACUUCAUUUACACCUUCCCUUCUCUGGUACAAACAACAGGCAAAUGGCUUCCCUGAGUUAAUCCUAAUAUAUACCUACAAAGAACCCCAAAUAGAAAAUAAAUUCAAGGACAGGUUCCACGCUAAAGCAAACACAACUUCAAAAACUGCUCCUCUGACCAUCCAGGAUCUGCAAGUGUCUGAUGCUUCCAUGUACUACUGUGCUCUGCAGCCCACAGUGACAGCUGCACUUACAACAGUCCUACAAAAACUAUGCUGAGAGCUCUGAGUACUUAUAAAGGGCCUUUUUAUAAAGGCCUGCUCACCUGAAUAAAACACUGAUCCAAAGUUAGUACAGUAAAUUCAGUAAUCCCAAACAUCCAAUUACCUGCAAAGCUAAUAAUCACAAAUAACAAAUAAUGAGAAUCAGUCCACCUGUUGUCAGUUGUUUGUAUGCUUUUGCAUAAGUGUGUG